GAUGAACGCUAGCGGCAGGCUUAAUACAUGCAAGUCGUGGGGCAGCAGGUUUGUAGCAAUACAGAUGCUGGCGACCGGCAAACGGGUGCGGAACACGUACACAACCUUCCUUUAAGUGGGGAAUAGCCCAGAGAAAUUUGGAUUAAUACCCCGUAACAUUAUGAUGUGGCAUCACAUUAUAAUUAUAGCUACGGCGCUUAAUGAUGGGUGUGCGGCUGAUUAGGUAGUUGGCGGGGUAACGGCCCACCAAGCCUGCGAUCAGUAACUGGUGUGAGAGCACGACCAGUAACACGGGCACUGAGACACGGGCCCGAGUCCUACGGGAGGCAGCAGUAAGGAAUAUUGGGCAAUGGAGGAAACUCUGACCCAGCCAUGCCGCGUGGAGGAUGAAGGUCCUCUGGAUUGUAAACUUCUUUUAUAUGGGACGAAAAAGGGUCUUUCUAGGUCAACUGACGGUACCAUAUGAAUAAGCACCGGCUAACUCCGUGCCAGCCGCCGCAGUAAAAC
rnacentral:rRNA from 1 species